rnacentral:rRNA from 1 species
GACGAACGCUGGCGGCGUGCCUAACACAUGCAAGUCGAGCGGAGAACGACGAGCAGCUUGCUGCAAGUUGUUCUUAGCGGCGGACGGGUGAGUAACGCGUGGGCAAUCUGCCUCAAACAGGGGGAUAACACAGGGAAACUUGUGCUAAUACCGCAUAAAACCACAACAUGGCAUCAUGAAGUGGUCAAAGGAAGAAAUUCCGGUUUGAGAUGAGCCCGCGUCUGAUUAGCUAGUUGGUGAGGUAACGGCUCACCAAGGCGACGAUCAGUAGCCGAACUGAGAGGUUGAUCGGCCACAUUGGGACUGAGACACGGGCCCAGACUCCUACGGGAGGCAGCAGUGGGGAAUAUUGCACAAUGGGGGAAACCCCGAUGCAGCGACGCCGCGUGAAGGAAGAAGGCCUUCGGGUUGUAAACGUUCUUUAGACCAGGGACGAAAAAUAGACGGUACCUGGAGAACAAGCCACGGCUAACUACGUGCCAGCAGCCGCGGUAAAU